rnacentral:tRNA from 1 species
GCCUGGGUGGCUCAGUCGGUUGAGCGUCUGACUUCGGCUCAGGUCGUGAUCUCGCGGUUUUGUGGGUUCAAGCCCCGCGUCGGGCU